GGCCAGGCCCCAAUACCUGGCCGGGUUCUUCCCACCAGGUUGGGCAAUGCCCAGGCUUGCUCCUCGGGCUUGGAAUCCCAGCCUCUGCCUCGGUUUCCAGGCCUCUGGCCAAGCUGCCCACUGGGCGCAGAGCAUGGGCUGUACACUCGUCCCUCCUCCCUCAGCUCCCGGACCCCUGUACCCAAGCCCCGGCUCUGUGCAGGGUUCAGGGGACCUCGCGUGGUGGGGCGGGGACAGCGGAGCGCCGGGCAUCGCACAGGCUGGGACCAGUCCCUCGCACCCACCCCGCCCAGCCCGCGGAGCCGGCUCCGCCCGCGCUCCCCUCCCCGAGGUGUCUGGAGCGCGGUGGCGCGAACAAAGCGAGGCCACCCGCGAGAAACUUCGGUUCAUGACGAUUUCCUCCUUGACUCAGCAGUAGCAGCAUCCGCCGCAGGUGGGGGCCCAGCCUCUCCGAGAGGCGCGUCUAUACUGGCGCCAUCCGCGUGGCCUGAGCUGCGUGCGCACGGGCCACCUGCCCCGGCCACCACUCCCGGCCCUCCCUCCAUCCCCGCCCGAAACCCAACCACCACCUGUCCCCUUCCCUUCCGCUCGCCUCCGCAGAGGCGCCCUGCCCGAGGAACUGGCAGCGAGAGGGGGUCAGUUUUGCAGCCGGUCCCAAGGGGCAGGCGGGCGGCGGGGCGCACUGCCGGGGCCCAGCGUCCCGCGCUGCCUGGCAUUCCAGCCGCGCCAGCGCCGGCGCCACCUCGAUCCCCUAGCCCCAGCCCAGUGUCUGCGGGCACCUGCCGCGCCCCUGAUGUCAGCAGGUCGCGGCCCGGCGCACCCAGGCGGCGCGCCCAUGAAGGCGCCCUGAACAUCCGCGGCCCUCGCUGCCCAGCGCACUUACAGUCCAGAGGUCCGGGCCGCCGCGCUGCUCACCACGCUCUGCCGGCCGCUCGGCGCCCACUCCCUCUUCAUUCAUCCUCUCCAGGCCCGCCCGCCGCGGAGGCCUCACCUACUCUGGCCAAUGGCAGCGCCGAGUAG
rnacentral:lncRNA from 1 species